AUGAUAAUUAAUGGCAAGUCUGCCUGUGAAUGGCUAGGGCCAAAGAACUCCUACAUAGUCUUACGUACAGAUUUCUCAAAUAAAGGAUCCCUCCACCACCUUACUGUCAGUGAAAUUCAAUUCCCUCUGAGAAUACUGCUUAAGUGGGCUUCUCAUUCUCUUCUUCCCUCAGAAUCAGGGGACCAGGAGGAGCAAGCAGAGAAAAGUCCAGUGUUCUUCUGGCUUCCCUUUCACUAUUUAUUCUUGGAAUCAGCAAAUAAUCUCUGCUAUCAAGAGGAGAGUUGGCCCUGAGAUCCUUUCUACAGGUGAGUGAUAUAAUGUGGUAGAAAAAAGCAUGUGUUCUAAAAGGCUGAGCCUUAGGCGAAGCUCACAGAUUCAGGGUAUAGACAAAUGUUUCUGAGAAACUUUGAGAAACAACAUGGCUUCUUCUUGUUUUACCAGACAAGAAAAAGAUUCCCCAGGGCUGAGAGGAGAGAAUUUAUGUGGAGGAGAGUUUCCAGAUUUUUGCUGUUACAAGUAGCGCUACAACGGAUUGUUGGUACAUACCUCUUUGCACACCAUUUGAAUAUAUCUGAAUUAUAAUUCCAGAAGCACAACAUAGAAAUGACAAUUAUGUUCAUUUAAAAUGUUAGCAGACAUUGCCAGUGGCUCUUAUAGGGAUGACCAAGUGAAAUUCCCACCUGAAUGUCUGAGAGCCUGUUUCCUUGUAUCAUCAAAUGUUAAAAAUUUUUUCUCUAUCCUUCUCAAACUCUUCCAAAAAACUGAAGAGGAGGGGAAGCUUACUAACUCAUUCUAUGAAGCCAACAUUACCCUGAUACUAAAACCAGACAAGAACAAAGCAAAAAAAGAAUAUUACAGGCCUGUGUGACUGAUGAACAUCAGUGCAAAAGUCCUCAACAAAAUACUAGCAAAUUGAAUACAACAAUAGAUUAAGAAGGUAAUGCACCAGGGUCAAGUGGGAUUCAUUCCAAGGAGGCAGUGAUGGUUCAACAUCCACAAAUCAAUCAACGUGAUACACCACAUUAGCAAAAUGAAGAAUAAAAAUCACAUGAUCAUCUCA
rnacentral:lncRNA from 1 species